UGACCACUGAGACAUAGUGCUUCUUUCUGC
rnacentral:piRNA from 1 species